rnacentral:RNase_P_RNA from 1 species
AAAGCAGGUCAGGCAACCGCUGCCGCGCAAGCGCCCUUCGGGGGGCAUAACGGGAGAGGAAAGUCCGGGCUCCAAAGAGCAGGAUGCCGGCUAACGGCCGGACGCCGCGAGGCGAGGAACAGGGCCACAGAGACGAGCGUAUUAAGUUACGGUGAAACGCGGUAACCUCCAUCCGGAGCAACACCAAAUAGGCAGGCGAUGAAGCGGCUCGCUGAGUCUGCGGGUAGGUGGCUGGAGCCGGUCAGCAAUGGCCGGCCUAGAGGAAUGGUUGCCCACGACAGAACCCGGCUUAUCGACCUGCUUUUCCA